AUUGAACGCUGGCGGCAUGCUUUACACAUGCCAGUCGAACGGUAACAGGCCUUCGGGUGCUGACGAGUGGCGCACGGGUGAGUAAUGCAUCGGAACGUACCCAGAGGUGGGGGAUAACGCAGCGAAAGCUGUGCUAAUACCGCAUGUGAUCUGAGGAUGAAAGCGGGGGACCGAGCAGCAAUGUUUGGCCUCGCGCCUUUGGAGCGGCCGAUGUCGGAUUAGCUAGUUGGUGGGGUAAAGGCCUACCAAGGCGACGAUCCGUAGCUGGUCUGAGAGGACGACCAGCCACACUGGAACUGAGACACGGCCCAGACUCCUACGGGAGGCAGCAGUGGGGAAUUUUGGACAAUGGGCGCAAGCCUGAUCCAGCAAUGCCGCGUGCGGGAAGAAGGCCUUCGGGUUGUAAACCGCUUUUGGCAGGAACGAAACGGUGUCCGCUAAUACCGGGCGCUAAUGACGGUACCUGCAGAAUAAGCACCGGCUAACUACGUG
rnacentral:rRNA from 1 species